rnacentral:rRNA from 2 species
UGGGGAAUAUUGGACAAUGGGCGAAAGCCUGAUCCAGCCAUGCCGCGUGUGUGAAGAAGGCCUUUUGGUUGUAAAGCACUUUAAGCGAGGAGGAGGCUACUUGGAUUAAUACUCUAGGAUAGUGGACGUUACUCGCAGAAUAAGCACCGGCUAACUCUGUGCCAGCAGCCGCGGUAAUACAGAGGGUGCGAGCGUUAAUCGGAUUUACUGGGCGUAAAGCGUGCGUAGGCGGCUUUUUAAGUCGGAUGUGAAAUCCCUGAGCUUAACUUAGGAAUUGCAUUCGAUACUGGGAAGCUAGAGUAUGGGAGAGGAUGGUAGAAUUCCAGGUGUAGCAGUGAAAUGCGUAGAGAUCUGGAGGAAUACCGAUGGCGAAGGCAGCCAUCUGGCCUAAUACUGACGCUGAGGUACGAAAGCAUGGGGAGCAAACAGG